rnacentral:rRNA from 1 species
UACGGGGGCAAGCGUUGUUCGGAAUUACUGGCGUAAAGGGCUCGUAGGCGGCCAACUAAGUCGGACGUGAAAUCCCUCGGCUUAACCGGGGAACUGCGUCCGGAUACUGGAUGGCUUGAGUUUGGGAGAGGUGCGGUGGAAGUUCCUGGUGUAGCGGUGAAAUGCGUAGAUAUCAGGAGGAACACCUGUGGCGAAAGCGGGCGCACUGGACCACAACUGACGCUGAGGCGCGAAAGCUAGGGGAGCAAACAGG